CCUUCGGGUUGUAAAGCUCUUUUGUCAGGGAAGAAACGGUAAGAGCUAAUAUCUUUUGCUAAUGACGGUACCUGAAGAAUAAGCACCGACUAACUACGUGC
rnacentral:rRNA from 1 species